CCUACGGGAGGCAGCAGUGGGGAAUUUUGGACAAUGGGCGCAAGCCUGAUCCAGCAAUGCCGCGUGCAGGAUGAAGGCCUUCGGGUUGUAAACUGCUUUUGUACGGAACGAAACGGUCUGCUCUAAUACAGUGGGCUAAUGACGGUACCGUAAGAAUAAGCACCGGCUAACUACGCGCCAGCAGCCGCGGUAAUACGUAGGGUGCGAGCGUUAAUCGGAAUUACUGGGCGUAAAGCGUGCGCAGGCGGUUAUAUAAGACAGAUGUGAAAUCCCCGGGCUCAACCUGGGACCUGCAUUUGUGACUGUAUAGCUAGAGUGCGGCAGAGGGGGAUGGAAUUCCGCGUGUAGCAGUGAAAUGCGUAGAUAUGCGGAGGAACACCGAUGGCGAAGGCAAUCCCCUGGGCCUGCACUGACACUCAUGCACGAAACGACGGUGGGGAGGACGAAACGAAGGAGUUAGUACUACCCGUACGGUACGUACCGACCGACCCGUAAACCGUAACUGUCAACUGGUUGGUUGGGUUCGUUCUACU
rnacentral:rRNA from 1 species